rnacentral:rRNA from 1 species
ACUCCUACGGGAGGCAGCAGUGGGGAAUCUUGCGCAAUGGGCGAAAGCCUGACGCAGCCAUGCCGCGUGAAUGAUGAAGGUCUUAGGAUUGUAAAAUUCUUUCACCGGGGACGAUAAUGACGGUACCCGGAGAAGAAGCCCCGGCUAACUUCGUGCCAGCAGCCGCGGUAAUACGAAGGGGGCUAGCGUUGCUCGGAAUUACUGGGCGUAAAGGGAGCGUAGGCGGACAUUUAAGUCAGGGGUGAAAUCCCGGGGCUCAACCUCGGAAUUGCCUUUGAUACUGGAUGUCUUGAGUGUGAGAGAGGUAUGUGGAACUCCGAGUGUAGAGGUGAAAUUCGUAGAUAUUCGGAAGAACACCAGUGGCGAAGGCGACAUACUGGCUCAUUACUGACGCUGAGGCUCGAAAGCGUGGGAGCAAACAGGAUUAGAUACCCGUGGUAGGAUAGCG